GAUGAACGCUGGCGGUAUGCUUAACACAUGCAAGUCGAACGGACUCUUCGGAGUUAGUGGCGGACGGGUGAGUAACGCGUGAGAAUCUGGCUUUGGGUUCGGGACAACCACUGGAAACGGUGGCUAAUACCGGAUGUGCCGAGAGGUAAAAGAGAAAUUGCCUGAAGAUGAGCUCGCGUCUGAUUAGCUAGUUGGUGAGGUAAAGGCUCACCAAGGCAGCGAUCAGUAGCUGGUCUGAGAGGAUGACCAGCCACACUGGGACUGAGACACGGCCCAGACUCCUACGGGAGGCAGCAGCGGGGAAUUUUCCGCAAUGGGCGAAAGCCUGACGGAGCAAUACCGCGUGAGGGAAGAAGGCUCUUGGGUUGUAAACCUCUUUUCUUAGGGAAGAACAAAAUGACGGUACCUAAGGAAUCAGCAUCGGCUAACUCCGUG
rnacentral:rRNA from 1 species